GUCCAUGCCGUAAACGUUGGGCACUAGGUGUGGGGCUCAUUCCACGAGUUCCGUGCCGCAGCAAACGCAUUAAGUGCCCCGCCUGGGGAGUACGGCCGCAAGGCUAAAACUCAAAGGAAUUGACGGGGGCCCGCACAAGCGGCGGAGCAUGCGGAUUAAUUCGAUGCAACGCGAAGAACCUUACCAAGGCUUGACAUACACCGGAAUCAUGCAGAGAUGUGUGCGUCUUCGGACUGGUGUACAGGUGGUGCAUGGUUGUCGU
rnacentral:rRNA from 1 species